rnacentral:rRNA from 1 species
UACGUAGGGUGCGAGCGUUAAUCGGAAUUACUGGGCGUAAAGCGUGCGCAGGCGGUUCGUUGUGUCCGAUGUGAAAGCCCCGGGCUUAACCUGGGAAUGGCAUUGGAAACUGGCGGGCUUGAGUGCGGCAGAGGGGGGUGGAAUUCCGCGUGUAGCAGUGAAAUGCGUAGAGAUGUGGAGGAACACCGAUGGCGAAGGCAGCCCCCUGGGUCAAGAUUGACGCUCAUGCACGAAAGCGUGGGGAGCAAACAGG